rnacentral:lncRNA from 1 species
GACCCCGCCAAGCUGCGCGAGCGCUUGGAGAGGAAGACCCAGAAGAAGUUCGAGCUCGUCUCUCACUCCGCUUCUCCCGCACCGCCGGCGCAGCCCAAGAAGGAGGGCGGCGGCGGCGAGAAGAAAGCGGAGAGCAAGAAAGCCGAUGAGGGCAAGAAAGCCGAUGCCGAUGAGGGCAAGAAAGCCGACGAGGGCAAGAAGAAGAAGGUGGAAGACGAGAAGCCCAAAGAG